rnacentral:rRNA from 1 species
CGGGAAUUUUGGGCAAUGGGCGAAAGCCUGACCCAGCAACGCCGCGUGAGGGAUGAAGUAUUUCGGUAUGUAAACCUCGAAAGAAUGGGAAGAAUAAAUGACGGUACCAUUUAUAAGCUCCGGCUAACUACGUGCCAGCAGCCGCGGUAAUACGUAGGGGGCAAGCGUUGUCCGGAUUUACUGGGUGUAAAGGGCGCGCAGGCGGGAUAAAAAGUCAGUGGUGAAAUCCUACAGCUUAACUGUAGAACUGCCUUUGAUACUUUUAUUCUUGAGUUCGGGAGAGAGAGACGGAAUUCCAGGUGUAGUGGUGAAAUACGUAGAUAUCUGGAAGAACACCAGUUGCGAAGGCGGUCUCUUGGUCCGACACUGACGCUGAGGCGCGAAAGCGUGGGGAGCAAACA